rnacentral:rRNA from 1 species
GACAGAGGGUGCAAACGUUGUUCGGAAUUACUGGGCGUAAAGCGUGUGUAGGCGGUCCACUAAGUCGGGUGUGAAAGCCCUGGGCUCAACCCAGGAAGUGCACUCGAAACUGGCGGGCUAGAGUAUCGGAGAGGUUGGUGGAAUUCUCGGUGUAGAGGUGAAAUUCGUAGAUAUGUGGAGGAACACCGAUGGCGAAGGCAGCCCCCUGGGUCAAGACUGACGCUCAUGCACGAAAGCGUGGGGAGCAAACAGG